GGGCGUCUACUAUUUUAUCUCAAAAACGCUACAAAACUCCCCCUUUUCUCAUACCCAAAUAACUGAUGCCGUCGUCUCGCAUUCAUAAAAUUGAUACUGCUGAUAAUUCUCAAACUUCUAAUCAAGAUUAUUAAGGCGCGAAGAGGACAAAGCCUUGGAACUGUGGCACUAGAUAACCAUAAGCUCAUUAUUCAUGAAGGACUUGCAAUGUUGGAUCCCUCAAGGAGAUGACAUUCUGCUUUUCAGCCGGUCAAUAGGAUCAUCUCCUUCAAUUGGGAUAAAUAAAUAUGUGCUCAAAAUGACUUGCACUAGGAGCAUACUCAAGGGUCGUCAUCCUUGUCAAAGGUUGAUAUGCAAAAAUUAGAGUCAAGAAGAGGACAGUCUUAUGUAAAGGGUGUUGCCAUAAAGAUUCCAGUUGCCUCGCUCUUUGUACGGAGGCUCACUAAGUGAACUGUUGUGAAUCAGUGUUCUUGUAGUCGGCAUUGGUCUUUAUUUAUAGUUAGCAUUCAGCUUGUUCUGAAGAUGAACAAGGAUAAAAAUUUAUAUUCUAUGAGAACCAUUAUCGAAUGAUGGUGUAAGAUUUAUAAAAAUAAUAUAUAAGUGACUCUUUUGUUUUAA